rnacentral:rRNA from 1 species
GUGGGGAAUAUUGGACAAUGGGCGAAAGCCUGAUCCAGCAAUGCCGCGUGAGUGAUGAAGGCCCUAGGGUUGUAAAGCUCUUUUACCCGGGAUGAUAAUGACAGUACCGGGAGAAUAAGCUCCGGCUAACUCCGUGCCAGCAGCCGCGGUAAUACGGAGGGAGCUAGCGUUGUUCGAAAUUACUGGGCGUAAAGCGCGCGUAGGCGGUUUUCCAAGUCAGGGGUGAAAGCCCGGGGCUCAACCCCGGAAUAGCCCUUGAAACUGGAAGACUAGAAUCUUGGAGAGGUCAGUGGAAUUCCGAGUGUAGAGGUGAAAUUCGUAGAUAUGCGGAAGAACACCAGUGGCGAAGGCGACUGACUGGACAAGUAUUGACGCUGAGGUGCGAAAGCGUGGGGAGCAAACAGGAUUAGAAACCCCAGUAGUCC